GACGAACGCUGGCGGCGUGCUUAACACAUGCAAGUCGAGCGGUAAGGCCCUUUCGGGGGUACACGAGCGGCGAACGGGUGAGUAACACGUGGGUGACCUGCCCUCAGCUCUGGGAUAAGCCUGGGAAACCGGGUCUAAUACUGGAUAUGACUCCAUGACGCAUGUUGUGGGGUGGAAAGCCUUGUGCGGCUGAGGAUGGGCCCGCGGCCUAUCAGCUUGUUGGUGGGGUGANGGCCUACCAAGGCGACGACGGGUAGCCGGCCGGAGAGGGCGACCGGCCACACUGGGACUGAGACACGGCCCAGACUCCUACGGGAGGCAGCAGUGGGGAAUCUUGCGCAAUGGGCGAAAGCCUGACGCAGCGACGCCGCGUGAGGGAUGACGGCCU
rnacentral:rRNA from 1 species